rnacentral:lncRNA from 1 species
AAUACAGCUAAUCACACCCUCUUCCUAUACACACAUAUUAUUAUUAUUAUUAUUAUUAUUAUUAUUAUUAUGAGUUGAGCUAGAAUGCUAUUAGUAGCAAAUUGACUCUGUUGCCAUCAAUUUAUUUUCGAUGAUGGAGCCUCCAAAUCGACGAUUGACAUCAUUGAAUAUGAUUUAUACUACUUGAAGCAUCUAGAAAUCAAAUUUCGUGCUUUUUCGAUAUUGUUCUCAUGUCCAUCAUGUGGACACAAAAAUGAAUGGCUGAAAAUGAAUAUCCUCUUAAAAGUGAUGAUAGGAAUCUUGUAACUAAGAUCGAGAGUAUAGAUCUUGUUCUAAAUAUUUUAAAAAAAUUUUUAACCAAAAUUCAAUUGAUUUGUAUAUCUUUACACUGUUAAACGAAAAAACGACUCAUAUCGAUCAUUAAUUAAAAUAACAAAUUUUGAAACCUUUUGAUCAUUAGGUCAAUGAUGUCGAAAAAAUUUGAAAUUUGAUUUCUAUAUACUUCAAGUAGUAUAGAUCAUGUUCAAUAAUACCAAUCGUUGACUUGAAGACUCCAUCAUCAAAAAUAAAUAAAUAACAACGAAAUUUAUUUGCUAAUGAUAAUAUUAAUUCCAACUCAACUCUUAUUAUUAUUAUUAUUAUUAUUA